rnacentral:rRNA from 1 species
UGCAAGUCGAACGAGAAAGUGGAGCAAUCCAUGAGUAAAGUGGCGUACGGGUGAGUAACACGUGGAUCAUCUACCUCUUUGUGGGGAAUAACCAAGGGAAACCGUGGCUAAUACCGCAUAAGCUCGAGAGAGGAAAGUCGAAAGACGCAGAGAGAGGAGUCCGCGGCUGAUUAGCUAGUUGGUGGGGUAAAGGCCCACCAAGGCGAAGAUCGGUAGCCGGCCUGAGAGGGCACACGGCCACACUGGCACUGAAACACGGGCCAGACUCCUACGGGAGGCAGCAGUGGGGAAUCUUGCACAAUGGGGGAAACCCUGAUGCAGCGACGCCGCGUGAGCGAUGAAGCCCUUCGGGGUGUAAAGCUCUUUCGUCAGGGAAGAUAAUGACGGUACCUGGAGAAGCAGCUGCGGCUAACUACGUGCCAGCAGCCGCGGUAAUACGUAGGCAGCAAGCGUUGUUCGGAGUUACUGGGCGUAAAGGGUGUGUAGGCGGUUGUUUAAGUUUGGUGUGAAAUCUCCCGGCUCAACUGGGAGGGUGCGCCGAAUACUGAAUGACUUGGAGUGCGGGAGAGGAUAGUGGAAUUCCUGGUGUAGCGGUGAAAUGCGUAGAUAUCAGGAGGAACACCGGUGGUGUAGACGGCUAUCUGGACCGU